UUGUAUUGACAGCCAAGGCAGUAUCAAGAUCUUCUAUUCCCAAAUGAUGAACUUCCUUUUGUUUCUCCACACUUAGAACCAUAGAAUAGGCUCUAUUUAUGUUAGGUAAAGGCUCUGAGAUUAGGAUCUGGUUCCUAACAUAUUCAUAACCUUCAUUCAAACCCAUUAAGAAUUGAAUUAACUUGUCUUCGUUGUCAAUAUCUGUCAUAUAUUUU
rnacentral:misc_RNA from 1 species